UCUGAGAGGAUGAUCAGUCACACUGGAACUGAGACACGGUCCAGACUCCUACGGGAGGCAGCAGUGGGGAAUAUUGCACAAUGGGGGAAACCCUGAUGCAGCAACGCCGCGUGGAGGAUGACACAUUUCGGUGCGUAAACUCCUUUUAUAUAAGAAGAUAAUGACGGUAUUAUAUGAAUAAGCACCGGCUAACUCCGUGCCAGCAGCCGCGGUAAUACGGAGGGUGCAAGCGUUACUCGGAAUCACUGGGCGUAAAGAGCGUGUAGGCGGAUAGAUAAGUCAGAAGUGAAAUCCAAUAGCUUAACUAUUGAACUGCUUUUGAAACUGUCUAUCUAGAGUAUGGGAGAGGUAGAUGGAAUUUCUGGUGUAGGGGUAAAAUCCGUAGAGAUCAGAAGGAAUACCGAUUGCGAAGGCGAUCUACUGGAACAUAACUGACGCUGAGACGCGAAAGCGUGGGGAGCAAACAGGAUUAGAUACCCUGGUAGUCCACGCCCUAAACGAUGUACACUAGUUGUUGCCAUGCUCGACAUGGCAGUAAUGCAGUUAACACAUUAAGUGUACCGCCUGGGGAGUACGGUCGCAAGAUUAAAACUCAAAGGAAUAGACGGGGACCCGCACAAGCGGUGGAGCAUGUGGUUUAAUUCGACGAUACGCGAAGAACCUUACCUGGUCUUGACAUAGUAAGAACCAUUUAGAGAUAGAUGGGUGUCUGCUUGCAGAAACUUAUAUACAGGUGCUGCACGGCUGUCGUCAGCUCGUGUCGUGAGAUGUUGGGUUAAGUCCCGCAACGAGCGCAACCCUCGUCAUUAGUUGCUAACACUUCGGGUGAGAACUCUAAUGAGACUGCCUACGCAAGUAGGAGGAAGGUGAGGACGACGUCAAGUCAUCAUGGCCCUUACGACCAGGGCUACACACGUGCUACAAUGGGGUAUACAAAGAGCAGCGAUACAGUGAUGUGGAGCAAAUCUAAAAAAUACCUCCCAGUUCGGAUUGUAGUCUGCAACUCGACUACAUGAAGUUGGAAUCGCUAGUAAUCGUAGAUCAGCAAUGCUACGGUGAAUACGUUCCCGGGUCUUGUACUCACCGCCCGUCACACCAUGGGAGU
rnacentral:rRNA from 1 species